GGCUGCAACUCGCCUACAUGAAGUUGGAAUCGCUAGUAAUCGCGAAUCAGAAUGUCGCGGUGAAUACGUUCCCGGGUCUUGUACACACCGCCCGUCACACCACGAGAGUUUACAACACCCGAAGUCAGUGGCCUAACCGCAAGGAGGACGCCGCCGAAGGUGGGGUUGAUGAUUAGGGUUAAGUCGUAACAAGGUACC
rnacentral:rRNA from 1 species